CUGCGAGUGAAGCGGGAAAAGCUCAAAUUUUAAAUCUGGCGGUCUCCUCGGCCGUCCGAGUUGUAAUCUAGAGAAGCGUCUUCCGCGCUGGCCCGUGUACAAGUCUCCUGGAACGGAGCAUCAUGGAGGGUGAGAAUCCCGUCUUCGACACGGACCACCGGUGCUAUGUGAUGCGCUCUCGACGAGUCGAGUUGUUUGGGAAUGCAGCUCAAAACGGGUGGUAAAUUCCAUCUAAAGCUAAAUAUGGGCGAGAGACCGAUAGCGAACAAGUACCGUGAGGGAAAGAUGAAAAGAACUUUGGAAAGAGAGUUAAACAGUACGUGAAAUUGCUGAAAGGGAAACGCUUGAUGUCAGUCGCGUUCGCCAGGGAUCAGCCUCGCUUCUCGCCAGGCGUACUUCCUGGUCGAACGGGUCAGCAUCAGUUUCGGUCGCCAUACAAGGCCGGAGGGAACGUGACACUCUUCGGGGUGUGUUAUAGCCUUUCGUCGUAUGUGGCCUCCGGGACUGAGGAACUCGGCACCACCUCACCGUGUGUGCUUUAGGAUGCUGGCAUAAUGGCCUUAAGCGACCCGUCUUGAAACACGGACCAAGGAGUCUAACAUGCCUGCGAGUGUUUGGGCGCAAAACCCAAGCGCGCAAUGAAAGUGAAAGUCGAGACCUCCGUCGUGGAGGGCAUCGACGCCCGGACCUGAGUCUUCGACGACGGAUCUGCGGUACAGCAUGUAUGUU
rnacentral:rRNA from 1 species